AUCCUUACAUGGUAUAGGGAUACCGUGAUCAUGCAGGCGUUUUCCCCAGGGUGAGGCUGGUCCAUUGCACUGCGGAGUGGUUGAUCCGUGUGAUUUCUACCGUAUGUGACUUGCACACACACACACAUUUUUUUAUUGCUUAGAUGGGUUGGAUGAGCCCACCUGGU